UUUCCGUAGGUGAACCUGCGGAAGGAUCAUUAUCAAAAGUCAAGUCGGGGGCUGCAAAGCCUUCGUCUACACCCAUGUCUUUUGCGUACUUCUUGUUUCCUCGGUGGCGCAAGCCGCCGAUUGGACAAACCAAAACCUUUUUUGUAAUUGCAAUCAGCGUCAGUAACAAAUUAAUAAUUACAACUUUCAACAACGGAUCUCUUGGUUCUG
rnacentral:misc_RNA from 1 species